CUGUUACUCAUGCCCCCUUUCCCUAUUUCUGUGGCUUUUGAGAGAGGAGACCUCAGACCUGGAAGGCACCCACUUCCCAGCUCUGGAGAGUGGCCAGAAACAGAAGCCUCGACCUGGAGCCUGCCGCCAGCUGCGGAUUCCUUACAUAAAAGGAGCUGGGAUUCAAACAGCCUUGCAGCCUCCGUUUUUCCUACUGUGUCCUGCUGACAUCCUACUUUAGGCUCCCCCAGAAGCAGGCCCCCCCAAGACAAGUUGUUAUUUGGGAGGGAUUCUGGAAGAACCAUAAACACUAGCUGCCUCAUCCCCACCUCUGGGCUUUCGCAUGCUGGCCUGGCCAGGAUGGCCCUCCUUCUCUCUCCAUAGUGAGUACUCCCCUUCUUCAACUCGGGCCUAGAACCACCUUCUCUAGGAGUGUUUCUGUGAUUAACCCCCCUGCCCUGGGAUAGUAGUUUCUGGACUGUGUGUUCCUUGAGCACCUCUUAAUUCUGCCUCCAGCAGGCUA